UGAAAUUCAUGAAAACUAUGCCUAGUUUUUAUUUAGAAUUUACACUUACGUUAUUUGUUUUGUUUUUCGAAAUGCCAGGUGAGCAGAAUGCAAAGUUAAACCUAGUUUUGUCCCUGAGUGUGGAAAAGUAAAAAUCUUUCAUAAUGUACUUUUGACCGACCUUUAAACAUGACGAUAACAACCCUUAUGAGCCAUGAAUGAGAAAUAAGAAGAAAUAGAUAGUAUAUUAUUAUUUAUUUAUUAUUAUAAGUAUUUAUUUAUUCAUUUUACUUCACUAAAAAUUCACAUUUCACAGGUAUUUAUUUAUUUCUUGUUUACUUUACUAAAAAUUCACAUUUCACAGGUAUUUAUUUAUCCUUUGUUUACUUUACUAAAAAUCCACAUUGUUUCCUGCCAAUGUUCCCAAGCCGGCCAAGGUGGGCAAACGGAGAAACAAUGUUUCCGCAACUAUAAUCUUAGUCUGAACUUGGUAGGAAACAUUCUUGUUUCCCAAGAAGCAAAAUUUGUUUCUGCAACAAUGUUUCCACAGGUGGGCAAAUGGGAAAACAUUUGAGGAAACAUUGAGAAUCACUAAUGUUUCUGCAACAAUAUUUCUUAGUUUGGGCUUAAUUAUACACAAAAAAACAAACAUAAACCUGAUAUUUGUGAUGUUACUCUGAGUGUAUAUCCACACCGGGCGAGCUUGAAAAAUAUGCCCGGCCAUGGUGGGAUUCGAACCUACGACCUUUGGAAUACUAGCCAAAAAAAAAUCAUAUUACUAGAAUACAUUGGUAUCGAAGGAACUAGAUUCAGUUCCUAAAUAUCACUUACUCGAACCAUCCUGACCGCGUAGCUCAGUUGGAAGAGCAUUGGGC